CACGUAGGGGGCGAGCGUUGUCCGGAAUUAUUGGGCGUAAAGAGCUUGUAGGCGGUCUGUCGCGUCUGCUGUGAAAAUCCGGGGCUCAACCCCGGACUUGCAGUGGGUACGGGCAGACUAGAGUGUGGUAGGGGAGACUGGAAUUCCUGGUGUAGCGGUGAAAUGCGCAGAUAUCAGGAGGAACACCGAUGGCGAAGGCAGGUCUCUGGGCCACUACUGACGCUGAGAAGCGAAAGCAUGGGGAGCGAACAGG
rnacentral:rRNA from 1 species